CGCGGGAUGGAGCAGCCUGGUAGCUCGUCGGGCUCAUAACCCGANNUCAUAACCCGAAGGUCGUCGGUUCAAAUCCGGCUCCCGCAACCA
rnacentral:tRNA from 1 species